rnacentral:rRNA from 1 species
GUGGAUUAGAUACCCUGGUAGUCCACGCUGUAAACGAUGUCAACUGGGUGUCGGUAGUUUUACACUAUCGGUGCCGAAGCUAACGCGUUAAGUUGACCGCCUGGGGACUACGGCCGCAAGGCUAAAACUCAACGGAAUUGACGGGGGCCCGCACAAGCAGCGGAGCGUGUGGUUUAAUUCGAUGCAACACGAAGAACCUUACCCAGGUUUGACAUGGUCGUAGUAGUGAACCGAAAGGGGAACGAGCCUUCGGGCAGCGAUCACAGGUGCUGCACGGCCGUCGUCAACU